UCAUUUUUUACUUUAGAAAGAAAACAAUGAAUGAUUUACUCUUUCUUUCUUGUAUUCUCUACUUUUUUUAGUUAAUUCGCGAAUUAUUUGCGAAUUAUUGAAAAUCCGAAUUAAAUAGUCCGUUUAUGAAUUUUUUCUAAAGAAAAUAAAUUAUUCGCGAAUUUUUAGGCCAGCUGAAUAAUUCGCAAAUUAUUUCCGAAUUAUUGAAAAUCUGGAUAAAAAACUUAUAAAUUUUAUAUUUAAAUAUAGAUUAUCUUAUAUUUUAUAUUUUAUACCGAAUCCGUUUUUUAAGCCGAAUUUUUUAAUGAAUUUAAAAAUUAGAAAACGAAUUUCAUGCGUAUUAUAUCCGUACCGAAUUUUUGCCGAAUUCGAAUUAACUAUGUUCUCUACAAUCAUAAAAAAAUUUCAACAACCAAUAUAUAAUCCAAACAUACUCACAAACAUUCUAACAAGCCGCAAUACAAUCGACCGUCCGUAGAGCAAGUGGCAAAGGGCUUGGUGGUUGGUACCCGAGGCCCAAGUUCGAAUCCUAGUUGAUUCACAUUUCCAGUUAAGUUUAUUUCUAAAUAAAAUAAACGAAGCGGGUAACGUGCUACCUAUCUCUCUCUCAAAAAAAAAAAAACAAGCCACAAUACAAUCAUAACAAUCUAAUAAAAAUCCGAUCAACCCACAUAUAAUUCUAACAAUUCCAUAAUUUUUACAAACGAUAUUAACAAUCUAAUGUUUUCUAAAGAUGGUGAAUAAUUCACCGUUUUUAAAAUUUUAUUAAACACUGUGAAUGAUUCAAUGUAUUUUCGUUCUCCUUCCAUCAUGGAGCUAAGUUGGAGAAAAUAAGAUUGGAUAGCUGUUAGAUGUGACGCGAAAUUGAUAAUCGACUUUAGUUCGGGAUUUCGACUCGCCGACAGUUUUGCAGUGCGACUAAAUUGGAAAAUAAAAUUGUGAAACAAAAAUGAAUGUCUGUUGUGGGUAGCAGAGGGCUCGGGCUCCACAGUAUGGAUCGGAUCCAAAACCCAUUAAGAAUUUUCUUGUCAUUUUUGCCCUAGAGGCGAUAGUUUGAAGUUGGUUGUACUCACUGAACAUUAUAUUUUCUUUUUCGUUCGAUAGUGAAGUUCUCUCCUCUCUCGCCCGUAAUUUUUUCCUACAAAAGAUUUUUAGCAUAAAUCUGUGUUUUCUUUUUUAUUUCUACUUGUGGUUUGUUUAUUUUGUGUUUGCUAUUUUGUU
rnacentral:lncRNA from 1 species